rnacentral:rRNA from 1 species
AUUGAACGCUGGCGGCAGGCCUAACACAUGCAAGUCGAACGGUAAUAGGAAGCAGCUUGCUGCUUUGCUGACGAGUGGCGGACGGGUGAGUAAUGUCUGGGAAACUGCCUGAUGGAGGGGGAUAACUACUGGAAACGGUAGCUAAUACCGCAUAACGUCGCAAGACCAAAGAGGGGGACCUUCGGGCCUCUUGCCAUCGGAUGUGCCCAGAUGGGAUUAGCUAGUAGGUGGGGUAACGGCUCACCUAGGCGACGAUCCCUAGCUGGUCUGAGAGGAUGACCAGCCACACUGGAACUGAGACACGGUCCAGACUCCUACGGGAGGCAGCAGUGGGGAAUAUUGCACAAUGGGCGCAAGCCUGAUGCAGCCAUGCCGCGUGUAUGAAGAAGGCCUUCGGGUUGUAAAGUACUUUCAGCGGGGAGGAAGGGAGUAAAGUUAAUACCUUUGCUCAUUGACGUUACCCGCAGAAGAAGCACCGGCUAACUCCGUG